rnacentral:lncRNA from 1 species
UGGGGUUACCGAACUCCCUCCAGGGAGCCUAAUAGAUGUAUACGUUUGCUUUGGAAUCAGAUACCUGGAACGGUGUCUCUUCUCACUUCAGAAGGUAAAUACAUUUUCCCACUCACCCAUCGGAAGAAACCACAGUGCUACAAGAUGGUACCUGGAGCAGAACUGCGGUUGAGAACUAGCAGAUACCUGAGCUAGCGAUGAUCAGCUCCCAGCACACAACGGUGAAAGUUGCUUGACAAGGAUCUGUUGGCAGAGAUGCAGAGUUGGAAGCCUGGAGAGGCAAAGUGAAGGGAGAAGUUUACGGUCAUGCAGCUGUAAUUAGGUAAGGUACAUCUGAACAGACAGGCGAGUCAGUCACUGAACCUGUGUACAGUUCUCCCGAGUAUUCUUCUGCAGCCUGGUUUUUCGCCUCUCCCCUCCCC